UACGUAGGGGGCAAGCGUUGUCCGGAUUUAUUGGGCGUAAAGAGCGUGUAGGCGGUCUGGUAGGUCCGUUGUGAAAACUCGAGGCUCAACCUCGAGACGCCGAUGGAAACCAUCAGACUAGAGUCCGGAAGAGGUGAGUGGAACUCCUAGUGUAGAGGUGGAAUUCGUAGAUAUUAGGAAGAACACCAGUGGCGAAGGCGGCUCACUGGUCCGGUACUGACGCUGAGGUGCGAAAGCGUGGGGAGCAAACAGG
rnacentral:rRNA from 1 species